GUAACACCCCGCCCAUCACUGUACUAAAAUGAUUUAAAAACUUUAUUUAUUCUGACCUUUGGCCGCUGCCUUGGGUGGCCUGCUGCCGCUGCCUUGGAGGAGGCCCACCUCCCUCAUUUUUAACUGAUUUUUGCCACUUUACGCAUAUCUGACAGUUCUAAAACUCUACAAAUUGCCCUCCCCCUUCCCUUCCUCUCCACGCUUCCAUUCUUCAAUUUUUCAAAGGUUUAAAGAGUGAGAGAGAUGAAAGAGAGAUAGUACUUUAGAAAGAGAAAAAAAGAAAGAAAAGAGAACAGUGAAGGAGAAAACAUCAAGAUUUCGGUAAGGAAUAUAGUAUUUCUUUCGAUGUCUUAAGGAGUAUUUUU
rnacentral:lncRNA from 1 species